UUGCAAGCCUUCGAGAUGCUUGAGUCUGGGGUGACUGGGUACAUUCCUGCAUUGCUUGCCAGAGUGUUCUGAAAUGGUUUGAGGCCUUGCCCUGUCUCUUCCUCAGAACAUAGCCAUAGGCAUUUCAGACAGUU
rnacentral:snoRNA from 1 species